rnacentral:rRNA from 2 species
AGUCGAGGGGUAACAGAGGGGCUUGCUCUUGCUGACGACCGGCGCACGGGUGCGUAACGCGUAUACAAUCUGCCUUGCACUAAGGGAUAGCCCAGAGAAAUUUGGAUUAAUAUCUUAUGGUUUAUAUAUAUGGCAUCAUAUUUAUAAUAAAGGUUACGGUGUAAGAUGAGUAUGCGUCCCAUUAGUUUGUUGGUAAGGUAACGGCUUACCAAGACUACGAUGGGUAGGGGCCCUGAGAGGGGGAUCCCCCACACUGGUACUGAGACACGGACCAGACUCCUACGGGAGGCAGCAGUGAGGAAUAUUGGACAAUGGAGGAGACUCUGAUCCAGCCAUGCCGCGUGCAGGAAGACGGUCCUAUGGAUUGUAAACUGCUUUUAUACAGGAAGAAUAAGGACUACGUGUAGUCUGGUGACGGUACUGUAAGAAUAAGGACCGGCUAACUCCGUGCCAGCAGCCGCGGUAAUACGGAGGGUCCGAGCGUUAUCCGGAAUUAUUGGGUUUAAAGGGUCCGUAGGCGGGCUGUUAAGUCAGGGGUGAAAGUUUGCAGCUCAACUGUAGAAUUGCCUUUGAUACUGACGGUCUUGAAUUAUUGUGAAGUGGUUAGAAUAUGUAGUGUAGCGGUGAAAUGCAUAGAUAUUACAUAGAAUACCGAUUGCGAAGGCAGAUCACUAACAAUUGAUUGACGCUGAUGGACGAAAGCGUGGGUAGCGAACAGGAUUAGAUACCCUGGUAGUCCACGCCGUAAACGAUGGAUACUAGCUGUUUGGAUUUCGAUCUGAGCGGCCAAGCGAAAGUGAUAAGUAUCCCACCUGGGGAGUACGUUCGCAAGAAUGAAACUC